ensembl:lncRNA novel transcript
AAAGUGCUCCCAAAGCUUGCUGGCACAUAAACAUGAAUGAAUGAACAAUGUAGAAUUCACUCAAGAAAUUUCAAGGAGAGAGAGGAGGAGAUUUACAUCACACAGCAAACAACCUAAUAAAUCUGUUAAACGCCAUGCAUGUGAAUAGGCGUUUUCCUCUUUUUGACCCUUUCUUUCCACAUAGAACUCAGUGCUCCUUCCUCGUCCUCCGUUACAGUAUUUAUCGCCUUCCUUCUUCCACGCCGGGGAGCAGUCGAGGCUUGUGUUCUUCAGCGGACUUGCCAAAUCAUCCCCUCCAGCAUGCUGCUCUCUCCCUUCCACAGAUCAUCUGUUAAGAAAAUACAUUUUUCAUGUCGUUAAUUUACAUAUACAUGUGCAUUAUAUAUAUGUUUAUACAAUGAGAGAUUGUUAGGAAAAUCACUACCACAUAUACAUGCAUUAUAUAUAUUACAUAUACAUACAUAUGCAUUAUAUAUAUACCUGCACACACAUGCAUAUGGAAAAUUGUUAGGAAAAACAGCACAGUGGUAGUGUUAGUGCUGGUUGUCUUUCGGUGGUGAGAUUAUACAUUUUUUUCUAUAAUUUUCUGUAUUUUCCUAAUUUUCUGUGAUCCAUAUAUGUUUUUAAUCAUCAAAAGAUGUUGAAAUUUAAACCAUGUUCUACGUACAUUUUACAUCCCCAUUUAAAGCUUUCUCAUGGUUCUCCAUGGCCUGCAGGAUGAUGCUUGAUGUUCAGCUUAAGAGCUUCCUCUCCUCACUUCCCACCCCUCUGUCACUUGUAGCUCAUGCCCUAAUAAUACCAGAGUGUUUCCUGUGCA